rnacentral:lncRNA from 1 species
AAAGCAGAGAAACUUCUACGUGAAGUGAUUGCUAGAGGUCUACUUUAAGAGCAAAACCAGGUAUGACACUUGUUACCCAUUAUUUUGAAUUUUUAUGACAAUCAUAGAGAUGGACUUUGAUCUAGGAUCCUUAGUUUAGUUUAGUUUUGACCAAAGUAAUUUAUUGUUUUGUUCAAUUUGAUAGUGUAUCCAUUAAAGCGGUUAUUUUUGAAGUCUUGAAAUGACUAUCCNNNNNNNNNNNNNNNNNNNNNNNNNNNNNNNNNNNNNNNNNNNNNNNNNNNNNNNNNNNNNNNNNNNNNNNNNNNNNNNNNNNNNNNNNNNNNNNNUCUUUUGACCUUUACCAGAUUUUUGCUUAUUGGUAUAAUAUAUAAAAUGAUUAUUGAUAGGUACAUUUUAUUUUACACUUGACUUAUAGACAGAUUGGUAAUGGAUUUAUAGGUUGCAAACCGAGACCUGCAUGUGAUGUACCAUGAAAGUGAACAGAUAUCUUGACUUGAUGCAAGAAAGAGGCAUGGUGUACGGCCCUCUGUCUGUCGUAUUGUUAUAAAAGAGAGAAACUUGAAUGUUGAAAGAGGCAUGGUUUAAGGCCCUCUAUGGCUCUAUCUUUUAAUGAAUGCAUNNNUAUGAAUUGUGAAUUAAACUAUAAUUUUAGUUUUGCAUAAAAUACAUUGCGAGUGUUUGUAGUCUGUAUCUGGUUUUGUUUAUUGUAUCAGAAUAGUUAGUGGAUUUGAGUUGUGUAAGCGGCUGCAAUAUUGUUCAUACUUGGUUGCUUGUUUUGAGUGUUUUAGGUGCUAGACUAUGGCUGACUUUGUUUCCCCUGCUUUUAGCUAUUUGUCAUAUUGUAUCAACCUUUUCACUGUGUUGAGUAUUAUUUGUGCUUAACAUCUUAAUAAAUUCUUCUGCUUAUAGAAACAUGAGUUCCUCCCAAGUCAUUCAGUUUAUAUAACACCUUAUGUCUUGUUAUUUUUAAUUGAAAUUAUAAAAGGAGGUUGAGAUAAAGGGUCAGACUUGCACGUUACUUUAGCAUCAAAUUGUUUUAACUAAUUAAGACCGCAACUAAUUAAGUAAGAAUCUAAGUGAAAAGCUGUUGCACCUGAAUCUGUCCCGCAAGGGAAGCCAAGGAAGUGCCUUCCACUUCAUGUUUGUGUAUACAUAUAUGUUGCAUCUUUCCUUUUUGUGUCAUCUUUGAAUUUGUAACUUUCUACACUAGUCAGUGUUAAUUUAGUAGUGACAUUGCCACUGUUUGCAGCUUAACUUGUGAUUGUGACAGGAUUGAACAACUUUUUCACCAAAACCAAGCUGAUUUCAAGCUCAGAACUCUACAUCUAUAGCCCAACCUAGCAGAUUUUUUCAGCAUGAUCUUCAUUUUUGCAGGUUACGUUUAGGUAAGGUGGAUACUUUCUUCUUCGGUCCCCACAUUUGGCGCUUUGACACCUUCCAUUUCUUUCUCACUAUUAGCCAAAAAACACUUACAAUCUUUUCUUCCAGUAUCAAAUAUCUAAUCUGUCUAGUAGUUUGCACAGCUCUAAAUUAGAGAAGGUGGAUGGAUUAGACUUUUUUGAAAUCUUUCGAUGAUGCCGAUAUUUUCUCAACUACUCAUCCAUGAUGACAUGAACGCCUUAAGUUUUCUUCAUGUUUAUAGCUUUGAAAUCUCUCCACAAAUUCAUAACUUUCAUAUCUUGUUCUCUGAGUUAUAUAUGAACAUUUUGAUGAUUUCGGUUAUUUUCAUAUUAAUAGCUUCCACAAAUUCAGAACCUGCAUCCUCUUUCUUCUUUCACUACUUUGCAAAGACCAUAUUGUUUUCUUUGUAUUCAUUCAGCUGAAGGAAAUUCCCAGAUUGGAAAAACUAGAGAGUAGAUUAUUAAGCAUGUAUUUGGAUAUAUGUUGGAAGAGACAUUCUUAUAUCCCUAUUCAACAAAUGAAAUAGGAAAAAAUGCUCCAAGGUAUAAGAUAUUGUUAGCAUAAUUUGCAACACAUUUUUCAUGUUUAAAUGUAAACAAUCGAUUCUGAUAGUGAUAUGUGAAAAUCUCUUUCUGGUUCAAGG